AACGCACGAGACCUGCGGACCUGCGGAGGGAUCAUUACAAAAGUUAUACACUUGGGGAACGGACUCGUCUUUCGGGACUUGAGGCCUGACUCCAUUUGUAACACAACUUCAACCACUUGUGAACAUGUAAUAAUAUCUCACCAAUUGACUGUUAACGAAGUCUGAUUCAAAUUGUAUUGGUGUUAAUAGACACUAGUAAAAUAUGAAACAACUUUUAACAAUGGAUCUCUAGAUCGGAAG
rnacentral:misc_RNA from 1 species